rnacentral:rRNA from 1 species
AACGAACGCUGGCGGCAGGCUUAACACAUGCAAGUCGAACGCCCCGCAAGGGGAGUGGCAGACGGGUGAGUAACGCGUGGGAACGUACCCUUUACUACGGAAUAACUCAGGGAAACUUGUGCUAAUACCGUAUGUGCCCUUCGGGGGAAAGAUUUAUCGGUAAAGGAUCGGCCCGCGUUGGAUUAGCUAGUUGGUGGGGUAAAGGCCUACCAAGGCGACGAUCCAUAGCUGGUCUGAGAGGAUGAUCAGCCACAUUGGGACUGAGACACGGCCCAAACUCCUACGGGAGGCUGCAGUGGGGAAUAUUGGACAAUGGGCGCAAGCCUGAUCCAGCCAUGCCGCGUGAGUGAUGAAGGCCCUAGGGUUGUAAAGCUCUUUCACCGGUGAAGAUAUUGACGGUAACCGGAGAAGAAGCCCCGGCUAACUUCGUGCCAGCAGCCGCGGUAACAC